CCCCUUCUGAAAAGCACUUGCUGGGUCUGGUUUGUGACCCAGGGAGAUGUCGUGGAAGGGCAGAAUAAUUGGGCACCACUUUUGGGUGAGGUGGCAGCUCGUGCUGUUCUGCCUCAAUCGGUGGUGCUACACGU